AUAAUAUUCGGACCGUCGGUCUACCGAGCAAUAUCACCCGCUCGGUGGAAGAUCUUCCCUUUGUCGU
rnacentral:pre_miRNA from 1 species